GUCUUCGAGUCGUUGAUUUCACACUGCCGAGAAAAGCCUCUAGAUAGAAAAUAGGUGCCCGUACCGCAAACCGACACAGGUAGUCAAGAUGAGAAUUCUAAGGUGAGCGAGCGAACUCUCGUUAAGGAACUCGGCAAAAUGACCCCGUAACUUCGGGAGAAGGGGUGCUCUUUAGGGUUAACGCCCAGAAGAGCCGCAGUGAAUAGGCCCAAGCGACUGUUUAUCAAAAACACAGGUCUCUGCUAAACCGUAAGGUGAUGUAUAGGGGCUGACGCCUGCCCGGUGCUGGAAGGUUAAGAGGAGUGGUUAGCUUCUGCGAAGCUACGAAUCGAAGCCCCAGUAAACGGCGGCCGUAACUAUAACGGUCCUAAGGUAGCGAAAUUCCUUGUCGGGUAAGUUCCGACCCGCACGAAAGGCGUAACGAUUUGGGCACUGUCUCAACGAGAGACUCGGUGAAAUCAUAGUACCUGUGAAGAUGCAGGUUACCCGCGACAGGACGGAAAGACCCCGUGGAGCUUUACUGUAGCCUGAUAUUGAAAUUCGGCACAGCUUGUACAGGAUAGGUAGGAGCCUUUGAAACGUGAGCGCUAGCUUACGUGGAGGCGCUGGUGGGAUACUACCCUAGCUGUGUUGGCUUUCUAACCCGCACCACUUAUCGUGGUGGGAGACAGUGUCAGGCGGGCAGUUUGACUGGGGCGGGCGCCUCCUAAAAGGUAACGGAGGCGCUCAAAGGUUCCCUCAGAAUGGUUGGAAAUCAUUCAUAGAGUGUAAAGGCAUAAGGGAGCUUGACUGCGAGACCUACAAGUCGAGCAGGGUCGAAAGACGGACUUAGUGAUCCGGUGGUUCCGCAUGGAAGGGCCAUCGCUCAACGGAUAAAAGCUACCCCGGGGAUAACAGGCUUAUCUCCCCCAAGAGUUCACAUCGACGGGGAGGUUUGGCACCUCGAUGUCGGCUCAUCGCAUCCUGGGGCUGUAGUCGGUCCCAAGGGUUGGGCUGUUCGCCCAUUAAAGCGGUACGCGAGCUGGGUUCAGAACGUCGUGAGACAGUUCGGUCCCUAUCCGUCGUGGGCGUAGGAAAUUUGAGAGGAGCUGUCCUUAGUACGAGAGGACCGGGAUGGACAUACCUCUGGUGUACCAGUUGUCGUGCCAACGGCAUAGCUGGGUAGCUAUGUGUGGACGGGAUAAGUGCUGAAAGCAUCUAAGCAUGAAGCCCCCCUCAAGAUGAGAUUUCCCAACUUCGGUUAUAAGAUCCCUCAAAGAUGAUGAGGUUAAUAGGUUCGAGGUGGAAGCAUGGUGACAUGUGGAGCUGACGAAUACUAAUCGAUCGAAGACUUAAUCAAAA
rnacentral:rRNA from 1 species